AUUGAACGCUGGCGGCAGGCCUAACACAUGCAAGUCGAGCGGAUGAAGGGAGCUUGCUCCUGGAUUCAGCGGCGGACGGGUGAGUAAUGCCUAGGAAUCUGCCUGGUAGUGGGGGAUAACGUCCGGAAACGGGCGCUAAUACCGCAUACGUCCUGAGGGAGAAAGUGGGGGAUCUUCGGACCUCACGCUAUCAGAUGAGCCUAGGUCGGAUUAGCUAGUUGGUGGGGUAAAGGCCUACCAAGGCGACGAUCCGUAACUGGUCUGAGAGGAUGAUCAGUCACACUGGAACUGAGACACGGUCCAGACUCCUACGGGAGGCAGCAGUGGGGAAUUUUUAUGGACAAUGGGCGAAAGCCUGACGGAGCAACGCCGCGUGAGUGAUGAAGGUCUUCGGAUCGUAAAACUCUGUUAUUAGGGAAGAACAUAUGUGUAAGUAACUGUGCACAUCUUGACGGUACCUAAUCAGAAAGCCACGGCUAACUACGUGCCAGCCGCCG
rnacentral:rRNA from 1 species